rnacentral:misc_RNA from 1 species
GAUGAAGAACGUAGCGAAAUGCGAUAAGUAAUGUGAAUUGCAGAAUUCAGUGAAUCAUCGAAUCUUUGAACGCACAUUGCGCCCGCCAGUAUUCUGGCGGGCAUGCCUGUUCGAGCGUCAUUUCAACCAUCAAGCCCAAGGCUUGUGUUGGGGACCUGCGGCUGCCGCAGGCCCUGAAAACCAGUGGCGGGCUCGCUGUCACACCGGGCGUAGUAGAUUUUAUCUCGCUCAGGGCGUGCUGCGGGUUCCGGCCGUUAAAAAGCCUUUUUUACCCAAGGUUGACCUCGGAUCAGGUAGGAAGACCCGCUGAACUUAAGCAUAUCAAUAAGCGGAGGA